rnacentral:rRNA from 1 species
UGGGGAAUAUUGGACAAUGGGCGGAAGCCUGAUCCAGCAACGCCGCGUGAGGGAUGACGGCCUUCGGGUUGUAAACCUCUUUCAGUACCGACGAAGCGAAAGUGACGGUAGGUACAGAAGAAGGACCGGCCAACUACGUGCCAGCAGCCGCGGUAAUACGUAGGGUCCGAGCGUUGUCCGGAAUUAUUGGGCGUAAAGGGCUCGUAGGCGGUUUGUCGCGUCGGGAGUGAAAACAGCGGGCUUAACUCGUUGCUUGCUUUCGAUACGGGCAGACUAGAGGUAUGCAGGGGAGAAUGGAAUUCCUGGUGUAGCGUGGAAAUGCGCAGAUAUCAGGAGGAACACCGGUGGCGAAGGCGGUUCUCUGGGCAUUACCUGACGCUGAGGAGCGAAAGUGUGGGGAGCGAACAGGAUUAGAUACCCUGGUAGUCCACACCGUAAACGUUGGGCGCUAGGUGUGGGGUCCUUUCCACGGAUUCCGUGCCGUAGCUAACGCAUUAAGCGCCCCGCCUGGGGAGUACGGCCGCAAGCUAAAACUCAAAUGAAUUG